ACGGAACUCUGGAGAAGCCCGUGCAGGGAACGGGUGCCGAAGGUGCAAGGCGAAAGUCUAAUCUCUCAGGCAAAAGGACAGAGCGCA
rnacentral:ncRNA from 1 species